GAUGAACGCUGGCGGCGUGCCUAAUACAUGCAAGUCGAGCGAACGGACGAGAAGCUUGCUUCUCUGAUGUUAGCGGCGGACGGGUGAGUAACACGUGGAUAACCUACCUAUAAGACUGGGAUAACUUCGGGAAACCGGAGCUAAUACCGGAUGAUAUUUUGAACCGCAUGGUUCAAAAGUGAAAGACGGUCUUGCUGUCACUUAUAGAUGGAUCCGCGCUGCAUUAGCUAGUUGGUAAGGUAACGGCUUACCAAGGCAACGAUGCAUAGCCGACCUGAGAGGGUGAUCGGCCACACUGGAACUGAGACACGGUCCAGACUCCUACGGGAGGCAGCAGUAGGGAAUCUUCCGCAAUGGGCGAAAGCCUGACGGAGCAACGCCGCGUGAGUGGUGAAGGUCUUCGGAUCGUAAAACUCUGUUAUUAGGGAAGAACAUAUGUGUAAGUAACUGUGCACAUCUUGACGGUACCUAAUCAGAAAGCCACGGCUAACUACGUG
rnacentral:rRNA from 1 species